rnacentral:rRNA from 1 species
AUUGAACGCUGGCGGCAGGCUUAACACAUGCAAGUCGAGCGGUAACAGGAGAAGCUUGCUUCUCGCUGACGAGCGGCGGACGGGUGAGUAAUACUUAGGAAUCUACCUAGUAGUGGGGGAUAGCUCGGGGAAACUCGAAUUAAUACCGCAUGCGACCUACGGGAGAAAGGGGGCAACUUGUUGCUCUCGCUAUUAGAUGAGCCUAAGUCGGAUUAGCUAGAUGGUGGGGUAAAGGCCUACCAUGGCGACGAUCUGUAGCUGGUCUGAGAGGAUGAUCAGCCACACCGGGACAGAGACACGGCCCGGACUCCUACGGGAGGCAGCAGUGGGGAAUAUUGGACAAUGGGGGCAACCCUGAUCCAGCCAUGCCGCGUGUGUGAAGAAGGCCUUUUGGUUGUAAAGCACUUUAAGCAGUGAUGAAGACUCUAGGGUUAAUACCCUUAGACGAUGACAUUAGCUGCAGAAUAAGCACCGGCUAACUCUGUGCCAGCCGCCGCCGUAA